CGUGUAGCCGGGGAUACAAGUCAGGUGUGAAAUCUAUGGGCUUAACCCAUAAACUGCACUUGAAACUGUAUCUCUUGAGUGUCGGAGAGGUAGACGGAAUUCCUAGUGUAGCGGUGAAAUGCGUAGAUAUUAGGAGGAACACCAGUGGCGAAGGCGGUCUACUGGACGAUAACUGACGCUGAGGCGCGAAAGCGUGGGGAGCAAACA
rnacentral:rRNA from 1 species